rnacentral:rRNA from 1 species
UAAUAAGCGGAGGAAAAGAAAACAACCGUGAUUCCCUUAGUAACGGCGAGUGAACAGGGAAAAGCCCAUGCCUGUAAUCCUAUCUGACCACUUCUUCUGGCUUGCUGGGAGAAGGUAUAACCUCGGUCUAUGGGAAUUGUGGCGUCAUGACGCACCUUAGGUCCAGUGCAGUCUCAAAGGUUUCAAGUCACCUGGAACGGUGCACCAUAGAGGGUGAAAGUCCCGUAGAAACCGACUCCGAACAGGGGAUGAGAAGACACUUUUGGAUCAUCAAAAGGUUGCUGUCACAGAGUCGGGUAGCUUGAGAGUGCUGCCUGAAUCUGGGUGGUAUACUCCACCUAAGGCUAAAUACACGGUGGGAGACCGAUAGCGCACAAGUACCGCGAGGGAAAGAUGCAAAGAACUCUGAAUAGAGAGUUAAAAGAACUUGAAGUUGUUGGAAGAGAAGCGGUUGUUACCUGCGUCGAGCGACUAUCGGGCAGGGGUCUCCUCAUUUAUGGGGAUACACCGGUGAUUGUUUAUUGGGAGGGCAACCUUUUAAUAGAUGGUUCCACCUUGCCUCAGUUAGGUAGUCUAGUCGGUAUCAGUUAGGGCUGGGUAUGACGCUCCUUAUUUUGCUUGGUUGCCACCGACACCAUUUUGGUGGUAUAGGAAGGUGAGCAUGCAUUAUUUGUGUAGUUUCAUGGUCCCCUUGACUGAUGUAAUUCGAUGUGUAUUCUCCCCAUCCGAACUUCAUUGUUUGGUGAAAGGAGAAAGGACGGGAGGUAUUUAGCUUUUGAGUCUUAAUAGGAAAGAGAGUCCUGUAACUGGUUUUGGGUAAAACCAAGAUUAAGUGCAGGCUGUCCUCUUGUUUUGACUUGAUUGAUGAGUAUCCACCAGUCCGAAGAGCCAUACACUGAGGAUACCGGCCUGCAAGGUACCAAUCGUCCCGUCUUGAAACACGGACCAAGGAGUUCGACCUGUAUGCGAGUGUGAGGGUGUGAAAAACCCGAACGCGUAACCAACGUGAAGCCUGUGAGUUUAAGUAUUGAUUUACUUGAAUGCAACAGGGACCUGCUCAGAGGGAUAAUGAUUAGUUAUUGUUAUUCAUCAAGUAUUCUAUAUUUAAUGAAUGAUAAUAUAAAACCCUAAUUAUUACACCGAAACGAGUCAGAGUCAAAGCAUACAUGUUGAGACCCGAAAGAUGGUGAACUAUGCCCGGGGAGGAUGAAGCCAGGGGAAACCCUGGUGGAAGUCCGCAGCGAUACUGACGUGCAAAUCGUUCGUCAGACCUGGGUAUAGGGGCGAAAGACCCAUCGAACCAUCUAGUAGCUGGUUCCCUCCGAAGUUUCCCUCAGGAUUGCUGGGACUUGAUAACAGUUACAUCUGGUAAAGCGAAUGAUUAGAAGCCUCAGGAGUGUAAUCACUCUUGACUUAUUCUCAAACUCUUAACGGGUGUAUAGACUUAUGGUUUCUUGACUGAACCCAGUAGGUCUUUAAUGUUGCAAGUCCUUAGUGGGCCAGACCUGGUAAGCAGGAAUGGCGAUGGGGGAUGAACCAAAAGCAAGGUUAAGGUGCCUAAAUGUGUGUUUAGAAAACCCCACAAAGGGCGUCGAUUCAUUAAGACAGCAGGACGGUGGCCACGGAAGUCGGCAUCCGCUAAGAAGUGUGUAACAACUUACCUGCCGAAUGAAUCGGCCCCGAAAAUGGAUGGCGCUAAAGCACAUUACCGAGACCUUGCCGUCAGUACUGGCGACAACGCCCUGGGUUGGCCCCUGGGGAGUUAUAAGCCCUGACGAGUAGGAGGACCGGCGUGGGGGUAGUGGAGAAGCCGAGGGGUGACCCGAGGUGGAACUGCCUCUAGUGCAGAUCUUGGUGGUAGUAGCAAAUAUUCAAGUGAAAUCCUCUGCUUGAAGGCCGACGCUGGAGAAGGGUUCCAUGUCAACAGCAGUUGGACAUGGGUUAGCCGAUCCUAAGUCACGGGGGAAACCUGUUAGCUCUGCUAACAAGGGGAGGCGUCUCUUUUUGAUUGGUUAUAAUGGGUAUCGGGGGUAACUCUGGUAUUUAUUAUGAUUUAUUGAAGAGGGGUUAACACACGCCGUGCCCGUGUCGAAAGGGAUUCCGGUCAAAAUUCCGGAGCUAGAAGGGUGGACCGAGUAUUACUCCUAUUUGUCGAUUUGAUUGAGGCUUGGAUGUGGGCAACUAUGUCUGAGCUUUGGUUAAAUUGAUGAGUGGGUUAAAAGUGAUAUUCACUUGGCGGUAACGCCAAAGCGACUUAUGGGAUACUGUUCGUGAUCCCGGGAAGAGAUUUCUUUUCCUCUUAACAGGUUUACUCCUUUUUAUAUUCGAAAGGAUAUAAGAGGGAUUAGUUAAGAAUAUGGAGCCAGCUUUUAAAUGUUUUGGCCUCUAUUUUUGAAUGUGCUGUCUGGAAACGGAUGGUCAUUUGGGAGUAGGGACCAGGAUGUCUGAGGGUUGGAACAACUCUUUAUUCGUAUUAACUAAAGGACCAUGGAAUUGGGUU